rnacentral:rRNA from 1 species
CGGCGGACGGGUGAGUAACGCGUGGGUAACCUGCCUCAUACAGGGGGAUAACAGUUAGAAAUGACUGCUAAUACCGCAUAAGACCACGGUACCGCAUGGUACAGUGGUAAAAACUCCGGUGGUAUGAGAUGGACCCGCGUCUGAUUAGGUAGUUGGUGGGGUAACGGCCUACCAAGCCGACGAUCGGUAGCCGGACUGAGAGGUUGAACGGCCACAUUGGGACUGAGACACGGCCCAG